UGAGGGGGGGUCACCAAGGGCGCCAUACAAGCUAGAACCGCCACAUACACUUGAAACAAAUAGCCAAACCGAAAACUGCAGAUACAUUGCUUUCUGCUACUAAGAUCAGUGAAAUAUAGGCUAAACUGACAACGGAGUGAAGAGCAGAAAUAUCAACUAGCAAGCAAGUCACAGCAAUGAAGGACGUGAAGGGGCGGAGAAUUCUGACGGGGGAGACUUUCGACGAUCCGGAGACCAAAUGAUCCCCUGAAGUGUUCUCCACCGAUACAAACUACUGUGAAACAGCAUAGCGGCAGAGCAAGAAUUUACCUACAGUUUACAGCAAAACCAGUUGCAGGUAUAUACAUGAAGGACACUCCCCUCUAUUGUCAGAAACGAGAACAGAGAUACCUUACCUGAUCGAUCACUCAGUUUCAAUCAAUCAGCACCAUACAUGUUACUGUUGUUGAUUUACUUUUAAGUCCCACUCCAUUUUUGCACAUUUCCCAUUGAAAAAUGAUAAUUCAAGUAUACAUACAGUAAAAUACAGUAAGCAACACCGUGUAUUUCACAAUUGCGAAAGUCAAGGGUUUGGCUUUAUUGAGUCAAGGUUUGGCAUUAUUGAGUCAUAAUACCCAUAAAACCUAGCAAUGAGAAACACACUUCAAAACAAGGUAGCCAUGACUAAAUGCAGCUAAACAAACGCCCUUCUUCAUGAAAACCUUUUUAAAUUGAAAACCAGCCCAGCCAACAUUUCCAUGUGGGGCCUAUAAGGGUUAAUAAAGGGCUGUUCCAUGGGCCACAUUAGGUAAACCCAAAAGGGACCUACAAAGUUUUGUCCUCAGUAUCCAAGCUGACCCCAAGUGUGGUUGCCAUGUUGGGCUUAUUAAGGGACCCUAGUGGGCAACUGUGUGAUAACCCACAUGGGCUCCAGGUUUUAUCCCAGGUGAGUUAAAGAAUGGUUACCACUUGGACCCCCAUCUAGGAUAACCAGAAGGUUCUCAUAAAGUUGUCCUCAGUAUCCAUGUUGGCCCCACAUGUGGUUGCCAUGUUGGGCUUUAUGUGGGUACAUAUCUUUUGAAGUCCAAGAUGGCAACAUGGCAACCACACCCAUGUCGACAGUGAAGAUGAGCAAUGCUGCAGCAGCAUCAGUUUCUACUUCUAUUAGUUCAUCCUUUUCCAGAUAUGAAAGUAGACAUCCCUCAGUUACACAAGAUGGUUGUUAUAUGCUGUGCUUUGGUCAAUCUGAGAGUUAUGUUGUGCCAUUUGAGGAGAGCAUUUUCACCUUGUCAUCAUGACAAAAGUGCCCCCUUAAACCAUAUCAAUAUAUAAAAUGUAAUUUGGAACGUGUAAAAGACUAUUGUUUGAUACUAUAAACAUACUGUACUUUAAUAAUGUUGUUGUAUGGGUGAAAUGAAAAGUAUUGUGUCAUCUCUGCUUUGCCUAGCCCCAUUGAAUGAAAAGUAUUGUGUCAUCUCUGCUUUGCCUAGCCCCAUUGAAUAAAAAGUAUUGUGUCAUCUCUGCUUUGCCUAGCCCCAUUGAAUAAAAAGUAUUUCUUAUAGCCUAA